GAAUCUUUUAAAAAUUCUUUGCUCCAACAUUAUUGUACUCAUUCAGCACUGCAUGGAAAAAGUGGAGAGCAAAACCCCGCUUACACAUGAGGACUUCUACCCCGAGUACGUGCCAGAUCGCCAGCCAUGGCUGAGU